GGCAGGGGCUCAGGGAUCUGUAUCAGCCCUGUGUGCAGUGAUCACUAUGGUGUCCCACAGCUGCUGGCUGCCUCUACUCAUGCUCUGGCUUCCCGGUUCCUAUGGGCAGAUUGUGCUGACUCAGUCCCCAGAUUAUGUCUCUGUGUCACCGGGAGAAACUGUCACCAUCACAUGUAAAUCUACUACCAACCUUUGGACAGACCCCUACUACAGGUUGCACUGGUACCAGCAGAAAUCAGGGCAGGCACCAAAGAUGAUGCUGUAUUAUGCAAUCCACCCAGAAAAAUGGACCCCAAAGCGGAUAAGUGGCAGCGGUUCUGGAACUGAUUACACCCUUACAAUCAGCAGAAUGGAAGCAGAAGAUGCAGGAGAUUAUUACUGCCAGCAGAGUAAGAGAGACCCACACACACAGUGAUACAGAGCUGAACAAAAACCUUCCCCUUUAUGAAGAUUUGUGAAUACAAGAAACUGA